UACGGGGGGGGCAAGCGUUGUUCGGAAUUACUGGGCGUAAAGGGCUCGUAGGUGGCCAACUAAGUCAGACGUGAAAUCCCUCAGCUUAACUGGGGAACUGCGUCUGAUACUGGAUGGCUUGAGUUUGGGAGAGGGAUGCGGAAUUCCAGGUGUAGCGGUGAAAUGCGUAGAUAUCUGGAGGAACACCGGUGGCGAAGGCGGCAUCCUGGACUAACACUGACACUGAUGAGCGAAAGCCAGGGGAGCAAACGGG
rnacentral:rRNA from 1 species